CUUUUAUAAAAUAGCUGAAUGAAUGCUUUUCCAGCGUUUCUUCUCCAGAGUUAUCCUGCUUACCGAAAUCUGUGAUACCCUGCAAUGAGGAACUUCUUGUGCUGAGGCAAUGGGGGUUAAGUGACUUGCCCAGGGUCACACAGCUGUCUUUAAUCCAGGUCUAAGUGUCUGAUCCAACAUCAGGCUGCUGGUUCAUCAUUCAAGGGAAAUGCCUUGUGCCCCUGUAGUCUAAGAACUGUCACAGGUGGAUGUCUGUCCCUGGAAAAGUCAAGGGAAUGUCCUUGUAAAGGUGAAGAAAAUUCCAUUGAUAAGGAAGAAGAAGAAGAAGAAGAAGAAGAAGAAGAAGAAGAAGA